rnacentral:rRNA from 1 species
UACGUAGGCAGCAAGCGUUGUUCGGAAUUACUGGGCGUAAAGAGUGUGUAGGCGGUUUUCUAAGUUCGGUGUGAAAUCUCCCGGCUUAACUGGGAGGGUGCGCCGAAAACUGGAAGGCUUGAGUGCCGGAGAGGAUAGCGGAAUUCCCGGUGUAGCGGUGAAAUGCGCAGAUAUCAGGAGGAACACCAAUGGCGAAGGCAGCUCGCUGGGACGUGACUGACGCUGAGACGCGAAAGCGUGGGGAGCAAACAGG